rnacentral:rRNA from 1 species
CAGUCGCCGCGGUAAUACGUAGGGUGCGAGCGUUAAUCGGAAUUACUGGGCGUAAAGCGUGCGCAGGCGGUUGUGUAAGACAGGUGUGAAAUCCCCGGGCUUAACCUGGGAACUGCGCUUGUGACUGCACAGCUAGAGUAUGGCAGAGGGGGGUGGAAUUCCACGUGUAGCAGUGAAAUGCGUAGAGAUGUGGAGGAACACCGAUGGCGAAGGCAGCCCCCUGGGCCAAUACUGACGCUCACGCACGAAAGCGUGGGGAGCAAACAGGAUUAGAUACCCCCGUAGUCCCUGUCUCUUAUAC